UGGGAGAGAUAAUAUUGUUUUUUACACUAGGUGUAGAAGUAAAUGAUAUACACAACACUUCGAAAAUUUUAUUAAACUAGGCUGGAAUACUAUCAAUAGCACCAAGCUAUUGGUGCUAUUAGUUUUUUAGUUCUUGGAUUGAGAAAUGUGUGGUUAGGAUGAUGUGGUCAUCUUAGGGUUGAGUGAGUGGUUCGUUGAAUAGUAUAAUCUAAGGAAUAAAAUAAUAAAAGAGUUAAAUUUAACAGUGGAAAGCUCGAUAGCACCAAAUCCGUGGUACUCUCGAUAGUAUCCCAGCUAGACUCAAUUUUAUUAUAAAAAUUUAAAUUUUGUAUUUUUGUUUCUACAUCAGCAUUUUUUGUGAUUUAGAUCAUAUUUAUCACAUUAUAUUUUAACA
rnacentral:lncRNA from 1 species